rnacentral:rRNA from 1 species
AGGAUGAACGCUAGCGGCAGGCCUAAUACAUGCAAGUCGAACGGUGGUAGCAAUAUCAUAGUGGCGCACGGGUGCGUAACACGUAACUAACCUACCUAUAACUGGGGGAUAGCCCGCCGAAAGGCGGAUUAAUACCGCAUAAGCUGUGAGGGUGGCAUCACCUUUUUAGUAAAGAUUUAUUGGUUAUAGAUGGGGUUGCGGGUCAUUAGCUAGUUGGUUGGGUAACGGCUGACCAAGGCGACGAUGACUA